UACGGAGGGUGCAAGCGUUGUCCGGAUUUAUUGGGUUUAAAGGGUGCGUAGGCGGUUCAUUAAGUCUGGGGUGAAAGCCCGUUGCUCAACAACGGAACUGCCCUGGAAACUGGCGAACUUGAGUACAGACGAGGGUGGCGGAAUAGAUGGUGUAGCGGUGAAAUGCAUAGAUACCAUCUAGAACCCCCGAUUGCGAAGCAGGCUGCC
rnacentral:rRNA from 1 species